rnacentral:piRNA from 1 species
UCCCAAGGUAAUGCUGGUAUGGGUUGGU